UACGGAGGAUGCAAGCGUUAUCCGGAAUGAUUGGGCGUAAAGCGUCCGCAGGUGGCUGUGUAAGUCUGCUGUUAAAGAGUCAUGCUCAACAUGAUAAGAGCAGUGGAAACUACACGGCUAGAGUGCGUUCGGGGCAGAGGGAAUUCCUGGUGUAGCGGUGAAAUGCGUAGAGAUCAGGAAGAACACCGCUGGCGAAAGCGCUCUGCUAGGCCGCACCUGACACUGAGGGACGAAAGCUAGGGGAGCGAAUGGG
rnacentral:rRNA from 1 species